GUUCCAUAAAAACUAGUUGUUAAUUCCUGCGUCUUGAGAUUGCAGUUGUCCCCAGAGAGACAGCUCCUAGAGGAGAGAAUGUUCUGUGCUCAAUUUUGCCGAGGGCGCUGACUUCAGUGAACGAAACUUCUUAAUCUCCAAAAUGACAGGAGCAUGCCAGCAUCGGGGGAUAUGUGCCAACCAAGCCCUGCAAGAUGUUGCGUUACAUGUACUCUAUGUAUGUAAAGUGUUACAGUACUACUGCUCAACAGAGGUUCUGGCUGUGGAUGGACUGCACCUCAACAGACAUUGAGCAAGACGGUGACCGUACCUGCAAGAUCUGAGUGAUGAUUGGUUGUACGGAUUGUUGAUGGUGAUCACAUUCAGAGUGAUGAAGAAGAGUGGCCAGAGUUACAAGAGAUGGAGCCCGUCGUCAGAGAUGAUGUCAGCCUACCACCAGUGCAGUCUUUGGAACGGCUGUCUUAUGCCACUGUGCAGCAGGCACAACAUAGACUUGAAACCCCAAAGAAGAUGAAGGUCAAGCGACAGAAACAGAAAGACAAGAAUAUGGAUACUACCAAAAAGAUGUUAUUGUUGGCUAAUGGUGCUGAGCAGAACCUAGGACUGACUAUGAGUAGAGGAAUCUUCAACCGCAUUGAGGAUUGGUUGGAAACACUGCCAGAGGGUCAAGUCAACUCCAUGCAACAACUGAUUAGCUCUCCUGCCAUAUUUGAGAGCAGAGUUGAAUAUCCCACUCUUCAAUUCAGAUUCCUGUGAGCUUCUGGACCAUAUCCUGUAGCUGACCUGAUUUACAUUAAAGGGUAAAAGUUUUUGAAAGAGAUGGUUGUUUCAUUUCUCCUAGAAAAAGGCAACCCAAUGGAAAAUGAUGGGCGAAACAUCUUUGUUCAAAAAGGAUUACGAUAAAUACUGUGGUCACUGCUAUGGCUUCAAUAUGACAAGGACAGAAGGAAGAAAAGACCCAACAGCCUCACUGUAUUCACAACUGGUGAGCAGCACGAUGAAAGGAAGAAGGAUCAACCAAACCAGAGUCUACAAACUGUUCUAGUUCAUCUUUUUCACUGGACAUUUUUUUUAUAAAAAAUCUUGAAAAUGUCUAACGAAUCUAAGUGAUAACAAUUGUCAAAGAACUAUAAACAAAUGUGGAAUGUUAAAAAAAAAUUGUAAAAAAGAACAUUUUGAUGUUAACAGUGACUAUAAAUUACAUCCAGUUUCUGAAUUUAGAGUUUUUAUAUAUUUGUGUUGUAACUACAACUUAAUAGUCAAAUCAUUGAAAGCUGAGAUUGCAUCUGUAUUUUAUUGCACAAUAUUUGUCCUUGAAAGAACCUUUGAGUAUAAAUAUAUAUGAACAUUAUUAGCUCAAUGCAUAUUUCAAACUGCAUGUGCAUGUACUAGCAAUUGUUAAGGUUAUACAUCAUAUCUUUAGCCUGCUUACUUUGUAUAAAAUAGUCUGUUAUAAUAUUGAUAUUGUUGUAAGGCUAGAAUUUCACAAGUUUGAAAAGACUUUUUUUUUAAACAGUACAUAGACAAUGUUUAUAUAAUGUUGAGGGUAUUUUAAGAUUAGAUAAAUGCUGCACAAGUAUGUCAUUCAAAUAAUUGUAUUCUUGAUUUAAUUGAAAGAAUACCAUUUUUAGCUCAGAAAAAAAUUACAACCUAUUGUCGUGGCUUGAUUGUUGUCGUUGCUAGAGGUGUUGGUUAAGUUUUGCGUUUAAGUCACUUACAUGGAAAUCUAUCAAAGCUAUCACUUUGAAACUUUGGGAACUUGUUCAUUUAAUACCCUUCUUCACAUUGUACCCUAAAGAUGCUGAGCCUCACCUGUUUUUAUGGGUAAAAAUCUUGAAUUUUAAUGGAUUUUGGUUGAUUUUAAGAAUUGGACAUAGCUUCUUCUAUUUUUGUUGGAUGGAUUUCGUUUUUUUUUUCACAGACAAUAAAUGGAUAAUGCCUUCAAUAUAUCAAACAGGUUUUUGAUUCACCUAUUUGGGAUAAGGGGAGGGUGCGUUGUAUUUUAGGACUUUAUAAUUUUUAGUUAGUCUGAUUUUUUAAGAUUCAUGUUUGGGUUACUAACAAGCAAACUAUCAAAGCUAUCACUUUCAAACUUUGGAAUACCUGUUCACUAUCAAAUGUACAAUAUCUUACAUGAAAUAAAUAAACCGUAAAAGGAUAAAAUCAGACGAGCAUUCAGCACCCGCAGGCAGUGCUCUUGUUAUACAUUACCAACACAAAGUCCUUUUACACUGGUGUAUUGUUUUGUUACAAUUUUAAAAGGGAAGUACAACAUUUCAAUUUACUAUGUGUUUGAAUUGCGAAGAAGACCUUUUUUGCCAUUAUUUGCCUUAAGACAUAGUUAGUGAUAACAUAUAACCAGUUGAUUUCCUUCUUAUACAAUGUUAAGAAUGGUAUGAUAUUUUCAGGGUUUAAAGUGUCCUGUCACAUCACAUGUGAUUGUAAAGGGACUUGGUGUGUGGCACUGUAGUUAAAAUGACUUUGUAAAGGAGAAAACAGUUGGCUGUAAGGGAAUGGAGGAGGCCAAUACAUUAGAACUAGUUCAUUCUCAAAUUAUAGCAUACAAACAAGUGUACUUUAUUGAUUUGCAAUGUUUUUUUAAAAUGUUGGUUACGUGAAGAGUUGUUUGUAUUUAUUUUAAGUUGAAUGAUAAAUGUAUCAAUUGAUUUACAGUCAAAACGUCCCCAGGUCAAAACGUCCUAUGGUCAAAACGUCCCCAUUUUGGUCAAAACGUCCCCAGUAGCUGGUCAAAACGUCCCCAAUUUUUUUUUUUAAUUUAUACAUCAACUUCAAUGUUCCUGAAAGAUACAAUACAUUAAUACCUUUAUCUACAUACAGAUAAAAAAGAUACAAUACAAUAAUACCUUUAUGUACAUAAAAAUAAAAAAGAUACAAUACAAUAAUACCUUUAUGUACAUAAAAAUAUAUUUUUAACGACGUAUUUAACCAUUAAUAUACAUAACAAAACUAUAACUUUUGAUUUCAUUUAAUUUGAUCUCAUUUACACUUACUUUCACAUUAUAUGAGUAGCCGGCCGUGUCACAGAGGAGGUCGCGCAAUUUUCUGGAGCAAUUUAACAUAAAUGAUAUAACAUCCUAUAGUUGUUCGAGCGUCGUUAUAAAAAUAGAAAUAUAGCUAAAUUUGUUAGUAUAAUUACAUUAAAUAACAGCAAUUCAGGUAUAAAAGGAAAUAAUUUAUUGAUAUCUGCGUACCAUGUUCAUUUAUGGAUUAAACUAUUAUCUCUCAAAACAAUAACUUUCUAUAUACUAUCAUUGGUACCCUUCCAAGUUCUCCGUAUAACGCAAUUGAGUUUGUUGAUUUUUUUACUCCAAGUAUAUAGCGAAGAAAUUUCACAUGAAUCAUUUCUAUGUCGGUAGCUGGAUUCAUACCCCAGAUAAGAACUGAAGAAAUUAUUAAAUAUUUUAUAUAAUUUAUACAGUGAAAAAGAUGCUUGUUGAGCAAUCAGUUUUUGAGACUUAUUGAAGUUGCCAUUUUUAAACAAAUUGAUUCCCAAGUAAUUAAAGGAAUUAACAACUUCUAUUGGGUUACCAUAAAUCUGUAAGUCUAUAUGCGUUGCACUUCCAUUUUCAAAAAUCAUUCCAUUAGUCUUUGAUACAUUUAUUUUUAAUCCCCACCUGUCGCAGUAAUUUUCAACGUCAUUUAACAUUAAUAGUGAAUAUCACCCAAUAAUAACCCAUCCUUGUCCAUGAAAAUAGGGUGUGACACAGUCCAAAGGUGUCAAAAGAGACACUAUACAAUAGUGGCCUUGUAAACACAAUGACAGACACGUGCCUUAACAAAAGCAGUUGUAACUCCUAAAUAACGUUUAAUAUAAUUUGGUAUUAACCAAACAUAUUGCUUGUAGUUAGCUAUCAGAUUAUCGGUUGUAAAGCGCCUUUAAACGUGUAUAUGAAAAGGGCGCUAUAUAAGUUUAGUGAAUAAUAAUAAAUAAAAGUGGUCAAAUUAACACUGUAAUUAAGCAUUGAACAUGGCCUAUGUCCAUCGUAACACUGUUCUUUAAAAUAGAAUUGAGAAUACUAACUUUCUUGAUGUUUCACUAGAUGUUGCAUUAGUAGUUCAUUUUGUAAAAUAAUUAAAUUUCACAUUUAAUACAUAUCAUAUGCAUGUUGUAGUAUUGUAUUACAUAGACAUUAUAGUAAAGAUCCUUUAUCUCAAAUAUCAUUACGAAAGAUUGCAUUACAAAACUAGCUAAAAAUAAAAAAAAUUACUUCAAAUCGAAGUUGAACUCUCUCAAAAACAUCGAUCUUUCCAUAGUCCAAAAUUUCAGCUCCAUAAAGAGUAUAUUGGUUUCAUAGUUUAUCAAAGAUUUCAAUUUGUAAGUCUAUAGUUAAAGAAGGCAAUUUGCUUUCCGUAAUAAACUGUACAUUGCUCUAAUGUAGCCUGAUUAGCAAUAUGUACUUAGUAUUUUUGAAAAGAUCUGGUUCUACUGAAGUAUAUACCGAGGUAUUUAUAUUCAUUAACUAUAUAUCCAAAUAUACAACAGUGAUGAAGGUUUCUCAAUCUUCGACAGGUUAUCGGAUACUCCAUUCCUCACAGCUUUCACACUGGAUCCCAUGCUGAUUACGUCGCACGUUGUUCCCACAUGCGAUGCACGGGAAAUGAGACAUUGUCAAACACAAAUAACUAUAUUAUGUCCAGAUAUACAACACAUUUACAAGAUACAAUUUAUAUUUUAUCCUUUAUAAUUUCAAUGAUAAAUCACGUGAAUAAUACUGUAACGAGUGGUCAUAAGUGGUAUGACGCCUAUCCCAAAGAAGGGAUUUAUAAGGAACAUAUUUAACAAUUGUCACACUUAUUGCAGCAAACUGCUGACAUACUUUCCAAUUAAAGGCCACGAAACCUAAUUAUUGCAACAAAAUAAUUCACACUUCUUUAAUUUAAUCCAAUUACGUACAUCAAACACAUCGGCUACUUUCAUUGAAUGAUACAUAAUUAUCUAUAAGGUACAUAUUAUUUAUUACUUAUUUUAUUAAGGUACAUCAAAGAAAUUAAAAGAAAAAACAAAGUAAAUAAAUCGUUUAUUUCAUAUAUAAUACAAAAAAAGAACAGAGCCUGGUGUGUCGCCCAUGAUAAUGGCCUGAUGUGUCGCUCUUGACAAUCCACUAGUAUGUCCCAAUCACAUGUUUUGCUGAAAUAUAAAACAUAAUUCAUUUAUUAGUUUUAUUUUAACAUAAUAAUACAAUAAUUCUGGUGGGGACGUUUUGACCAGCUAAUGGGGACGUUUUGACUUUUGGUGGGGACGUUUUGACCAAAAUGGGGACGUUUUGACCGUAGGACGUUUUAACCUGGGGACGUUUUGACCUGCAACCGUAUCAAUUUUGUCUGAAUGAUGAAUGUAAGAUAUAUUGACUUGUAUCCAUGUCACAGUAUUGUCAUUGUCACAAUAUUUCUUUUUGUGAUCAGGUUUGAAUUCUUUGAAAAAUAAAC